AUGGGCAGCAUCGAGCACAUGGAAGCUGCCGGCACUGUCCGGAUCGUAUCCCGGCGCAUGGUCCGGCCGUCCAGCGGUGGCGGCACGCCGCCGUCGGAGGUCAUCCACCUAACGCCAUGGGACCUCCGCCUCCUCACCAUAGACCACAUCCAGAAGGGCAUCCUCCUGCCCAAGCCCCCCGUCGGCGGCAAGCGCCUCGUAGACGCCCUCGCGUCCUCCUUGGCGUGCGCCCUGGACCGGUACUGCUACUUUGCCGGCCGGCUCGCCGUCGAGGAGCUCGGCGACAGGACCGUCACCGUCGCUCUGCGCUGCACAGGGGAUGGCGCCGAGCUCGUCCACGCGGCGGCGCCCGGCGUGGCCGUCGCGGACCUCGUCGGCUCGGUGCACACCCCAUCGCCGGUGGUCUGGGACUUGUUCUCGCUGAACGGUGUGCUUGACGCGGACGCGGCCAUCGAGUCACUCCCCGUGCUGUCUGCGCAGGUCACUGAGCUCGCCGACGGCGUCUUCGUCGCCGUGUCCAUGAACCACUCCGUCGGCGACGGCACCUCCUUCUGGGAGUUCUUCAAUGCAUGGUCGGAGAUCCACCGACACCGAGCCGACGUCAAUGGCGUCAUCACAGACAACGGCCUAAACAAGAUGAAGAUGGUCUCGACGCCGGCGCCGGUGCUCGCGAGGUGGUUCGUGGAGACGAGCCCCGUGCCAAUCCCCUUACCGUUCAGCAAGCUGCAGCACGUCCUGCGGCGGUUCGAGCUCCCGCCGGUGCGAGAAGGCUUCUUCACCUUCUCCGCCGCGAGCGUGAAGAAGCUCAAGGCGAGGGCGAACGCCGAGAUGGCGGGCGUCGCCACCGCGCCCAUCUCGUCGCUGCAGGCCUUGCUCGCGCACCUCUGGCGGGCAGUGUGCCGAGCCCGGCGCCUCGCACCGGGGCAGGAGACGUUCUACGCCGUCAUCAUCGGGUGCCGGGGGCGCGUGCGCGGCAUCCCGCCGGGCUACGUGGGCAACGCCGUGGUGCCCGGCAGGGCGGUCUGCGCGGCCGGCGAGGUCCUGGAGAAAGGGCUGGGCUGGACGGCGUGGCAGCUGAACCGCGCCGUGGCGUCGUUCGACGAGGCGGCGCUGAGGGGGUUCCUGGAACGCUGGGUCCGGGAACCGACGUUCUCGUUCACCGGGGACCUGUCGUCGGCGGCGGGGGGCGCGGGGCUGGAGACCGAGAGCUCGCCGCGGUUCGACGUGUUCGGGAACGACUUCGGGUGGGGACGGCCGGUGGGCGUGCGGAGCGGCCUCGGCGACAAGACGGACGGGAAGGCGACGGUGUUCGAGGGGCCGGAGCGGGGAGGGAGCAUGUCGCUGGAGGUGUGCCUGGCGCCGGACGCGCUGGAGAGGCUGGUCGCGGACCACGAGUUCAUGGACGCCGUGACCCUUCCCGCGCGCGUGUGA
rnacentral:rRNA from 1 species